GAUGAACGCUGGCGGCGUGCCUAAUACAUGCAAGUCGAGCGAACGGACGAGAAGCUUGCUUCUCUGAUGUUAGCGGCGGACGGGUGAGUAACACGUGGAUAACCUACCUAUAAGACUGGGAUAACUUCGGGAAACCGGAGCUAAUACCGGAUAAUAUUUUGAACCGCAUGGUUCAAAAGUGAAAGACGGUCUUGCUGUCACUUAUAGAUGGAUCCGCGCUGCAUUAGCUAGUUGGUAAGGUAACGGCUUACCAAGGCAACGAUGCAUAGCCGACCUGAGAGGGUGAUCGGCCACACUGGAACUGAGACACGGUCCAGACUCCUACGGGAGGCAGCAGUAGGGAAUCUUCCGCAAUGGGCGAAAGCCUGACGGAGCAACGCCGCGUGAGUGAUGAAGGUCUUCGGAUCGUAAAACUCUGUUAUUAGGGAAGAACAUAUGUGUAAGUAACUGUGCACAUCUUGACGGUACCUAAUCAGAAAGCCACGGCUAACUACGUGCCAGCAGCCGCGGUAAUACGUAGGUGGCAAGCGUUAUCCGGAAUUAUUGGGCGUAAAGCGCGCGUAGGCGGUUUUUUAAGUCUGAUGUGAAAGCCCACGGCUCAACCGUGGAGGGUCAUUGGAAACUGGAAAACUUGAGUGCAGAAGAGGAAAGUGGAAUUCCAUGGGUAGCGGUGAAAUGCGCAGAGAUAUGGAGGAACACCAGUGGCGAAGGCGACUUUCUGGUCUGUAACUGACGCUGAUGUGCGAAAGCGUGGGGAUCAAACAGGAUUAGAUACCCUGGUAGUCCACGCCGUAAACGAUGAGUGCUAAGUGUUAGGGGGUUUCCGCCCCUUAGUGCUGCAGCUAGCGCAUUAAGCACUCCGCCUGGGGAGUACGACCGCAAGGUUGAAACUCAAAGGAAUUGACGGGGACCCGCACAAGCGGUGGAGCAUGUGGUUUAAUUCGAAGCAACGCGAAGAACCUUACCAAAUCUUGACAUCCUUUGACAACUCUAGAGAUAGAGCCUCCCCCUUCGGGGGACAAAGUGACAGGUGGUGCAUGGUUGUCGUCAGCUCGUGUCGUGAGAUGUUGGGUUAAGUCCCGCAACGAGCGCAACCCUUAAGCUUAGUUGCCAUCAUUAAGUUGGGCACUCUAAGUUGACUGCCGGUGACAAACCGGAGGAAGGUGGGGAUGACGUCAAAUCAUCAUGCCCCUUAUGAUUUGGGCUACACACGUGCUACAAUGGACAAUACAAAGGGCAGCGAAACCGCGAGGUCAAGCAAAUCCCAUAAAGUUGUUCUCAGUUCGGAUUGUAGUCUGCAACUCGACUACAUGAAGCUGGAAUCGCUAGUAAUCGUAGAUCAGCAUGCUACGGUGAAUACGUUCCCGGGUCU
rnacentral:rRNA from 1 species